GACGAACGCUGGCGGCGUGCUUAACACAUGCAAGUCGAACGGAAAGGCCCUGCUUUUGUGGGGUGCUCGAGUGGCGAACGGGUGAGUAACACGUGAGUAACCUGCCCUUGACUUUGGGAUAACUUCAGGAAACUGGGGCUAAUACCGGAUAGGAGCUCCUGCUGCAUGGUGGGGGUUGGAAAGUUUCGGCGGUUGGGGAUGGACUCGCGGCUUAUCAGCUUGUUGGUGGGGUAGUGGCUUACCAAGGCUUUGACGGGUAGCCGGCCUGGGAGGGUGACCGGCCUCAUUGGGCCUGCGAUACGGCCCAGACGCCUAUGGGAGGCAGCAGGGGGGAAUAUUGCACAGUGGGCGGAAGUCUGAGGCAGCAACGCCGCGUGCGGGAUGACGGCCUUCGGGUUGUAAACCGCUUUCGCCUGUGACGAAGCGUGAGUGACGGUAAUGGGUAAAGAAGCACCGGCUAACUACGUG
rnacentral:rRNA from 1 species